rnacentral:rRNA from 1 species
AUUGAACGCUGGCGGCAUGCCUUACACAUGCAAGUCGAACGGCAGCACGGGUGCUUGCACCUGGUGGCGAGUGGCGAACGGGUGAGUAAUAUAUCGGAACGUACCUUAUUGUGGGGGAUAACGCAGCGAAAGCUGUGCUAAUACCGCAUAAUCCCUAAGGGGGAAAGCGGGGGACCGUAAGGCCUCGCGCAAUUAGAGCGGCCGAUACCUGAUUAGCUAGUUGGUGAGGUAAAGGCUCACCAAGGCAACGAUCAGUAGCUGGUCUGAGAGGACGACAAGCCACACUGGGACUGAGACACGGCCCAGAAUCCUACGGGAGGCAGCAGUGGGGAAUUUUGGACAAUGGUGGCAACCCGGAUCCAGCAAUGCCGCGUGAGUGAAGAAGGCCUUCGGGUUGUAAAGCUCUUUUGUCAGGGAAGAAACAGCAGCUCUAACACAGUUUGCGAAUGACGGUACCUGAAGAAUAAGCACCGGCUAACUACGUGCCAGCCGCCGCCGUAA